rnacentral:rRNA from 1 species
CACGUAGGCACCAAGCGUUGUCCGGAUUUAUUGGGCGUAAAGAGCUCGUAGGCGGUUCGGUAAGUCGGGUGUGAAAACUCUGGGCUCAACCCAGAGCCGCCACUCGAUACUGCUGUGACUCGAGUGCGGUAGGGGAGCGGGGAAUUCCUGGUGUAGCGGUGAAAUGCGCAGAUAUCAGGAGGAACACCGGUGGCGAAGGCGACAUCCUGGACCGGUAUUGACGCUGAGGCGCGAAAGCCAGGGGAGCAAACGGG